rnacentral:tmRNA from 1 species
GGGGACGAUAUGGAUUCGACGCCGGGAACAAAACCAAAUGUGCAUGCCGAGUAGUUCUACAGUACUCGUUAACCCAACUGUGGGCUCGUUAGCUAAAACUGCCAACGACGAAAACUACGCUCUAGCAGCAUAACGCUAGGCCCUGGAUGGGGAUCGUCUCUGGUCCUUAUCAACAGGGUUCAAAAACAGAGACUCGCUCAGAGACUGUGUCAGGGGUCAAAGAGCUAAAUUUUCACUUGACUCGGGUUUGUGAUCCCUGUGCGUUGGGAGAUCGAACCUCAAAUUCAAAAACGCGACUAAGCAUGUAGAGCGUUUGGCAGCGUACUGACGGACGCGGGUUCAAAUCCCGCCGUCUCCACCA